UGGGGAAUAUUGCACAAUGGGGGAAACCCUGAUGCAGCGACGCCGCGUGAGUGAAGACGUAUUUCGGUAUGUAAAGCUCUAUCAGCAGGGAAGAAAAUGACGGUACCUGAGUAAGAAGCCCCGGCUAACUACGUGCCAGCAGCCGCGGUAAUACGUAGGGGGCAAGCGUUAUCCGGAUUUACUGGGUGUAAAGGGAGCGCAGACGGCUCUGCAAGUCUGAAGUGAAAGCCCGCGGCUUAACCGCGGGACUGCUUUGGAAACUGCAGGGCUUGAGUAUCGGAGGGGCAGGCGGAAUUCCUAGUGUAGCGGUGAAAUGCGUAGAUAUUAGGAAGAACACCGGUGGCGAAGGCGGCCUGCUGGACGAAAACUGACGUUGAGGCUCGAAGGCGUGGGGAGCAAACAGGAUUAGAUACCCUGGUAGUCCACGCGGUAAACGAUGAAUACUAGGUGUUGGUGCCCGAAGGGCAUCGGUGCCGUCGCAAACGCAAUAAGUAUUCCACCUGGGGAGUACGUUCGCAAGAAUG
rnacentral:rRNA from 1 species